AUAGUACUCCCUCCGUCCCAAAAUUCUUGUCUUAGAUUAGUCUAGAUACGGAUGUAUCUAACACUAAAACGUGACUUGAUACAUCCGUAUUUAGAAAAAUUUAAGACAAGAAUUUUGGGACGGAGGGAGUAUAUG
rnacentral:pre_miRNA from 1 species